rnacentral:rRNA from 1 species
GUACACGCUGUGACUAGCAUAUCAAUAAGCGGAGGAAAAGAAACUAACAAGGAUUCCCUUAGUAACGGCGAGUGAAGCGGGAAGAGCUCAAAUUUGAAAUCUUCAAGGUUUUACCUUGACGAAUUGUAGUUUAAAGAAGUGUUUUCUGUUGAAGUUUUGGUAAAAGUUCUUUGGAAUAGGACAUCAUAGAGGGUGAGAAUCCCGUAUUUGACCAUUAUUUUCAGCUUUGUGAUACACUUUCAAAGAGUCGGAUUGUUUGGGAAUGCAGCCCAAAAUGGGUGGUAAAUUUCAUCUAAAGCUAAAUAUUGGCGAGAGACCGAUAGCGAACAAGUACCGUGAGGGAAAGAUGAAAAGAACUUUGAAAAGAGAGUUAAAUAGUACGUGAAAUUGUCAAAAGGGAAGCGUUUAACACCAGUGUUGUUUUCUGAAAAUCAACCUCUGUUAGCUUUAUGCAUGUUUGUUUAGACCUAAUCAGCUAUCUUGCAUGUUCUAUUGUUUGCAGUGGUGCACUUUUCAGUUUACAGGUCAACAUCAGUUUUUUUUACCGUAAAAAAGUUAAAGAAAGGUAGCUCAUGGCUCCGGUCGUGAGUGUUAUAGUCUUUUUCCUAUGCGGUAGGAGAGACUGAGGUCUGCAGUGUAGGCUAUUUGGCUAGAUACUCAGGUGCUAUGUGAUACCAUUUCAUAAACAACUUGUUGAUUAUGUUUUGUCUAUUGCAUACUCGCUUGUACUAUCAUACCUACGCUUAGGAUGUUGAACUACUGAGACAUAGA